rnacentral:rRNA from 1 species
ACGCAGCGAAAUGCGAUAACUAAUGUGAAUUGCAGAAUUCAGUGAAUCAUCGAGUCUUUGAACGCACAUUGCGCCCCCUGGUAUUCCGGGGGGCAUGCCUGUCCGAGCGUCAUUGCUGCCCUCAAGCCCGGCUUGUGUGUUGGGCCCUCGUCCCCCG